rnacentral:rRNA from 1 species
ACGCUGGCGGCGUGCCUAACACAUGCAAGUCGAGCGGAGAUAGGCGGAAGGUAACUGAAGCUUAUCUUAGCGGCGGACGGGUGAGUAACACGUGGGCAACCUGCCUUGAAGUGGGGGAUAACACCGGGAAAUCGGUGCUAAUACCGCAUAACAUACACAAACUGCAUGGUGAGUGUAUCAAAGGAGCAAUCCGCUUUAAGAUGGGCCCGCGGCUGAUUAGCUAGUUGGUAAGGUAACGGCUUACCAAGGCGACGAUCAGUAGCCGACCUGAGAGGGUGACCGGCCACACUGGAACUGAGACACGGUCCAGACUCCUACGGGAGGCAGCAGUGGGGAAUAUUGCGCAAUGGGGGGAACCCUGACGCAGCAACGCCGCGUGAGUGAGGAAGGUUUUCGGACUGUAAAGCUCUGUCGAGCGGGAAGAAGUGUACCAUGGCUAAUAUCCAUGAUAUUUGACGGUACCGCUAGAGGAAGCACCGGCUAACUCCGUG